rnacentral:rRNA from 1 species
AUUGAACGCUGGCGGCAGGCCUAACACAUGCAAGUCGAGCGGAGCGGCGGACGGGUGAGUAAUGCCUAGGAAUCUGCCUGGUAGUGGGGGAAAACGUCCGGAAACGGGCGCUAAUACCGCAUACUAGAAGAGGAGCCGAGGUGGGAUUAGCUAGUUGGUGGGGUAAAGGCCUACCAAGGCGACGAUCCGUAACUUGGCUGAGAGGAUGAUCAGUCAAACUGGAACUGAGACACGGUCCAGACUCCUCCGCGAGGCAGCAGUGGGGAAUAUUGGACAAUGGGCUAAAGCCUGAUCCAGCCAUGCCGCGUGUGUGAAGAAGGUCUUCGGCUUGUAAAGCACUUUAAGUUGGGAGGCGUUACCAUCUGAAUAAGCACCGGCUAACUUCGUGCCAGCAGCCGCGGUAAUUC